ensembl:snoRNA
UGCCACAGUGCUGAUUAGAGCAGUGGAAUUUUCCUGUGCGGUGGGCUGAUUCCAGGCCAGCAGUGGCUAUAGAAUAUCAGGUUUUGCUUUCACCUCUGCAUUGUUAGUUGUUGAAUGGUGACAAUGAGACCUGGCACACUC